GUCUGAAAUAAACUACAAAAUUGCGUUUAUUCUUUUUUUGUUUGUUUGUUUGUUUUUCUUUGUUUUUUUAGACUUUCAGCUUAAGAUUGCUAUUUUGAUUGUACCAUCUCACACGUGGAUCCUUAGUUAACAGGGCCGAGCAGAAUUACAAGGAAGUUUUUCUCCGCUGUUAACUGGUUGACAGGGCCGAGCAAAAUUACUGCAGAUUCUCUCCGCUGUUUUGACCGGUUGAGCAUGUCUGUGUAGAACACGUGUUUCUCCGCUGCUAACCAUCUGGGGCUUCGAACAGGGCCGUGUAGAAACAAGGUAUUUCUCCGCUGUUCUAACCAUUUCGUGGUUUGAGCAGGGCCGUGCAGAAAUAAAUUUUUCUCCGCUGUUUUAUUUCCUUUUGGAGUCUUAACAGGGCUGUGAAGAGGACUGUUUUUUUCCGCUGUCGACCGCUUUUCCCAGAGUUUGUAGCCAUAAACAAUCUGGAUUUACAGUGAGGACUGUAUCUAAGGAAAGGGUUAGAGUCCCUAAAAGACUUGUACAAGCAAAGAAGGAUAGUGUGGAAGAUGGGAAGUCAAACGAGCAAAAUAAGCAAAGGUACACAAGUCAUGGAAUCCAUUCCGGCUGAUCCAGUCCUGGACUCCGCUCCUCCUCCUCUGAUAUGCUCCAGUCCCAGAUCCAUCCAAGGAUGAAGACUAUGCUGAUGUUAAAACUGCUGCUGAAAAACGACACCAUAAGCCAGAGAGAGAUGAUGAACUAAUCCAACAUUAAAGACCUACAGAAGCACUGUUCUGGUCCGGUAACAGUAAUGCAACACAUCGUAUUGCCCAGUCAUGGAAAUGCCAAUUAUAAAAUGAAUAUUUGGUAUUUGGAACAUUGUUGAAGCAAUGGGGCACGUGACAGCCUCACAUGCAAUUGGAGUGGUUUGGACCGUUUAUCAAAGGAUGCCAUAAUGACUUAACAAAGACAGCUGAGUAGCAAACCAGCUCAAACAACAACUCCCCUUUGGAGACCUGCAAGAUUUCUACAAUCUCAACAAAAUACUUCACUCUAGCUUCACAAGAAAGUAGGCUGGAGCACAGAAUGGACUCAGUACAGCGAUGUCAUCAUUGGAUAAUUGCCGCCUGUGGGAUGCAGGCCAAUCACAACAACAUGUUUGCAUUCAAGAACAGAUCAUGUAGAGCUCUCCAAGUUCACAUGAUCAUCACCUUAUGGUCACAGCGGUCUGAAAUAAAGUUCAUCGGAAAAGAACAUGUUCUGAGCCGGACAAGGCCUGAAACUGCUGUUGGAAUAAAGAUGCCGAAUUUCACAGCAUCUUACUGACAGACGAGAGGACCUGCAAGCUGAAGAUUUACACAAAGAGGACAAAAGUGAGAAAAUAGCCAUCAAAAACUCUGUUCUAAGCCAUCACAGUACGAGAAAACGUACAGUAUAGUGGACAAAGGUGGACAUUGGUACACAGAGAUUGUCUGGACAGAUCCAAAACAGAUCCAAAUAGACUGAGCUGGAGGGGGCGGGACGGACGCCAGUGACAGGAAACAGCUUGGACACACACACACACCUGCUGUACCAAGGGGGAAGUGUACACAUGGCGAAGCAAAGCCAAGUGAUUUGCAAACGGAUGGAUUUGGGGAUGCAAGUCCACCCGGAGUUGGCUGACUGAUAACAGGCCAGUAAGUUGGAAUCUGAGAACACUGUACAGUAAAGAGCAAAAAGUACUGCUCAGGUUAAAAGAACCAUUGGACUAGUUCCUGUAACAUCUUUUUACACACCAUGGUUAAAACAUUAAACUGUGACCUCAUGUCUGAGGUGCAAACUGAAUGAGAGUCUAUAGCCAUAGUUAACACAAAGUUUGAUUUGUGAUGAUUUGAUGUGUGAAAUAAUAUCUAAUAAAAAACAAGAAGUGCUUGGAAAUAUUAAACAUGUUUUCUUUUUGUUCACUGCUACAGGCUGCAGUGACCUGUACGCACCCACAUUUUCAAAAAAGAUUAUGAUGAAGGCCGACCAACAGAGCAACAGAGUGAUGCUCCAGAUGCUUCGGUGAACCCAGUGCUGGAAGGACUGCGUUCCCUACAAGAAGAACUUGCAGAGAACUCUGAAGUGGACACUAACAUGUUUGACUGGUCUGAUUCUGUGUUUGCUAAAUAAAAGGCCUUAGUGAUGCCCACACUAGCAGGUCUAAUGAUUGCUGUAGCACUGUUAGCUCUCUAUGGAUGUUGCAUUAUUCCAUGUGCCAGAGGUCUGAUUGUAGGAGCUAUUGAUAAAUGUGUCUCCAUUCAAAUGAUCACACUCCAUGAACAAGAAUAACAUGCUACUGUGAUGACAGGAAGGACCCAGAUUCGUUUUCUCUGUUAAACUGGUGUAGAUCACAUCGUGAUGACUUUCUAUGACCUGAUGAUCUUUUUGUGAUGUUGUAUAUGCUUGAGUGAUCAAAGAAUGAUCACAAGGGAGGAGUAUGUGAUGGAAAUUUGAUAUUUUACUGUGUUUACUGUUUCACCCUGCAUGCUUCAUCAGAAUAGACCAGUGUUUCACUGUGUGGUAUUUGAUUAUUUUAUUAUGUUACAGCUAGGUAAAAUUUCCCAUGGGAAAGAUGCUCGUUAGAGAGUUUUCUUAUCAGACUGUCCUUGGUAGGCCUUCAUCUCAGAACAGCUGGUACCUACUCCCUUCCUCCCUUGGAUAGCUGCGUAAUACCCUUACAGUAUAAAGUCACCUGCUUCUUCACUGGCUCUUUGUCUUACACUCUGCAGACUGUUUUGCACUCUGUAAGUUUGUCUGACCCUUUGCAAAGAAUAAAACCCUUAAAAGACGUCUGGAUUGGAAUCUUUAUUUCAGAAGACUCACUAAAGGACAAAUUUCCAUUACAUCAUCCAUUCAGUUGUUGCUGUGGCUGCUUUGACAUACGGGUUGUGGGCAUUCAGGUUUGCUGUCUGCUGCAGUGUAAAAUGUUGUCAAAUUGCUGUUAAUAAUUAUUAGAAAUAAGUUAUUCUGGCCAUUCAAAUCAAUACAAAAAACAGCGCGCACCAUUUAGUAUGAAGUCACUAUGACCUUCUGUCUGAGUCCCUGUGUAGGGGAGAGCAAGAUUGGUUGGCAGACUUUUGACUCUUAUAUUAGAACUUUCGAACAAACACCAAAUUAAAGUUUAAGGUCUCAGCUAUAGAUAAAUAUGUUUUAAUGUACGCAAAUGUUUUCUAAAAUUGAGUGAUUUGUGUUUAUUGUCAUAUUGUGCAUUAGUGCACACAGUUAUUUUCUGACAGAUCGAUCCGCAUUAUAUACGCUCAUCUCCUCUGUGAAAGCCUGUAUCCUCAUUGUGCUGCAUUAUUAUAAACUAUGAUGAACUGGUCGUGGGUCACAUCUCUCUCUCUCGUCCAGGUGCUGUUUCUCCCUCUUCAUCUCUUUGCAGUUCUCAUCCAUUAGUUUCUGUUGUUGACUGUGUAGUUGCUGUGGCUGCUUUGACAUACAGUAUGUUGGCGUUCAAGUUUGCUGUCUGCUGCAGUGUAAAAUGUUCUCAAAUUGUUGUUAAUAGCUAUUAGAAAUAAGUUAUUCUGGCCAUUCAAAUCAAUACAAAAAACAUGAACAGCGUGCACCAUUUAGUAUGAACUCUGUAUGACCUUCUGUCUGUGUCCCUGUGUAGGGGAGAGUGGGUUUGGUUGGCAGACUUUUGACUCUUGUGUUUGUAACUUUCAAACAAACAGCAAAUUAAAGUUGAAGGUCUCAGCUAUAAAUAAAUAUAUUUUAAUGUACGCAAAUAUUUUUCUAAAAUGUUUUCAAACAUUUGUAAUUUAAGUCAUGUUGUUCAUUUUCUGGUCCUUUAUUGAGCAAAAAUGUCAGUUUCAGUAUUUAAUUAAAGGAAUUGUUUGAAUUA